rnacentral:lncRNA from 1 species
GUGUUCUGUUUCCAUUGAAUAGCAAUGCUCAGGCUCUCAAACCCUUCCUCUGCUCCCCUGCGGUGUGGGGGAAGGGCUGUGGCUUGUGCAAUGUCCUGGUGUUGGGGAGGAGUGGUGUCUUCAGGCACAGCUUCCUGCCUCCUGCACUCUUGUGCCUUUUCUGGCGUGGUGUGCUUGCCCUGAUCUGUGAUUCCAGUGCUGCCCUUGGUGAUUCACGGAGAAGGUUAUUUUACCCUGGGGACAGAGUGCCACACAAAGACUUUCCUGCUGCUGAAUGUGUGAACAAACACCAUCUCAGAGAAUCAAUAGAAGAAAUCUAAGAAGAAAUGCCUUGAUUGGCAAAGACUUCUGGUGGCCUAUACAGAAUCAUAAAAUGAAUGAAGCACCUGAUGGUCAAGGAAGAGAAAAGAAGAUGAAAGGAUGAAUGCGUAUUUGUUUCAUAAUCACUAACAGGUGUUAAUAAAACGUAUUGUACAAUGCUCAAUUGUCAUGACAUUGAAAGGGAUCAGGUUCACCUGUUCAUUGUGAUAUAUUAUGUAGUUUCACUUCUUAAAAUGCAACAGCUCUGUUGAAUUGUUCUUAUCAUUAACACUUGAAGUAAUAAAAUAGGCUUUAUUAAUGUUUCAUUUGAUUUAUUUUUAUUAUAGU